rnacentral:rRNA from 1 species
CGGGCGACCGGCGCACGGGUGAGUAACGCGUAUGCAACUUACCUAUCAGGAGGGGAUAACCCGGCGAAAGUCGGACUAAUACCGCAUGAAGCAGGGGCCCCGCAUGGGGAUAUUUGCUAAAGAUUCAUCGCUGAUAGAUAGGCAUGCGUUCCAUUAGGCAGUUGGCGGGGUAACGGCCCACCAAACCGACGAUGGAUAGGGGUUCUGAGAGGAACGGUCCCCCACAUUGGUACUGAGACACGGACCAAACUCCUACGGGAGGCAGCAG